GGACGAACGCUGGCGGCGUGCCUAAUACAUGCAAGUUGAGCGCUGAAGGUUGGUACUUGUACCAACUGGAUGAGCAGCGAACGGGUGAGUAACGCGUGGGGAAUCUGCCUUUGAGCGGGGGACAACAUUUGGAAACGAAUGCUAAUACCGCAUAAAAACUUUAAACACAAGUUUUAAGUUUGAAAGAUGCAAUUGCAUCACUCAAAGAUGAUCCCGCGUUGUAUUAGCUAGUUGGUGAGGUAAAGGCUCACCAAGGCGAUGAUACAUAGCCGACCUGAGAGGGUGAUCGGCCACAUUGGGACGGAGACACGGCCCAAACUCCUACGGGAGGCAGCAGUAGGGAAUCUUCGGCAAUGGACGAAAGUCUGACCGAGCAACGCCGCGUGAGUGAAGAAGGUUUUCGGAUCGUAAAACUCUGUUGGUAGAGAAGAACGUUGGUGAGAGUGGAAAGCUCAUCAAGUGACGGUAACUACCCAGAAAGGGACGGCUAACUACGUG
rnacentral:rRNA from 1 species